AGGUGAAAUUGCUAGUGGAGAAAUUCUGUAUCCUUAUUCGCACGACUCUUCUGCUAAGGAAUAUUUGUCAUAGAAACGAGGACUACGACUGGACGUACGAGGCAUUCCCCUACCAGUAGCACUCCAUCACCCACUUGUGUGAUAUCUUGUAAUGUUCUUUCUUUUUGUAAAUCUAGUUUAGACUGUGUCUGGUUCAUUCUAGACGUUUCCGUGAAUGUUGUUAACUACUCUUAAAUUCUGAUGUUAUUCAUGAAUAUUUUCUUCUAAUCA